CGGGCUCGGGCUCGGGCUCGGGCUCGGGCUCGGGCUCGGGCUCGGCUGGUGGCUCCACACCGGCGCCGCACCUGCUCCGCCGGCGCCGCGGCAGGCCCGGGCCCGGGUCGUUCCGCCGCCGCUCCACCCCUGAGCGCCGGGCGCCCAAAGGCUGCCGGAGCGCUCGUGUCGCGGCAGUCCUCGUUGCCGGGGCUGGCGCGGCCCCUUCGGCGGGGGCUGAGCGGCUUUAUCUGCGCGCCUCGGAAGUGGCCACGGGCUCUGGCUGGCUGAAGAGACCACACUUACCAAGAAGAACAGACAUCCCUAUGUAAACAGAGGCUUUGGAGCAAAGAGUUCUGACUACGUUAGUCUUUGGAAUACCUGAAAAUACACUGGAGCAUACAGAAAUGAAGGAACAGACCCUCAAUGAGUCUUUUCAACACCUGAAGGAAGUCCAGUGGGAAGAAACUGGGAUCAGAAAGGCUGUCUUUAAAGGAGGCUGUGUUCUGUCAUCAGGAGAAGAGAGGGGAAUCCCCUUGUACUGUUUCAGCCUAUUGGAUGUGCUGCUGUGCAUCGUUCAGGUUUGUGAACCAAAUAAAGAGAAAAGAAAAGAAAAGAACACAGUGAAGAGAAAAAGAACAUGUAUAAAUCUAAGUGUUUCACGGCACAUAAAAUGCAAGGUUCUCUCUUUGUUACAGAGAUGGAACCAAUAGUAGCAAAUGCUGACAAAGAGAAAAGCUGGACAAGCAGUUUUUUGGUGAUUAAUACCGAAGGGAUGGGAUGAAACAAGAAGCAGAAAUGCAGUUUAGCAGCCCCUUGAUAUCACCAGAACCUGCUGCAGUAGGAGGUGUUCUGGCAUGGGUAACUAGGGUAACUCUUGAUAAUGACUGCUAGUUAUUUCGGCCUCCCGAAGGCAGCACUGAGGACUAAGUAACCCGUUCCCACCCCRUGGAUGUUGUUUGCUGUAUCURCCUUAGUUUUGCUUUGGUUGUUUCUGUUUUGUUUUGUUAUUGUACGUGCAUAUGUAGAAAGGGAAAGAUGUCAUAUUUAAUUUUUAGRUUGAUUGCCAUGGCUGAAGUUGAAGAGACCAGAAAAACGUAAGCAAGCUGAAGUAAUGAAAUCAAACGGAACCAACUGAGAGCUGUCUCCAUCGCCCAAAAAGGGAAAGCCCGUUCCUCCUGGUGAGGAAAGAUCACCAUUAAUAGUGAUUGGAAUAAUAGAUCACCAACAUAUAAGGUCUGAAG
rnacentral:lncRNA from 1 species